GGAGGAUUGCUUGAGCCCCGGAGUUCGAGGCUGCAGUGAGCUAUGAUGACGCCACUGCACUCCAGCCUGAGUGACAGAGUAAGAUCGUGUCU
ensembl:miRNA